CAUGCAGUCGUACGGGGUUGUUCCUUCGGGGACAGCUCAGUGGCGGACGGGUGCGUAACACGUGGGCGACCUGCCGAGGCGCGGGGGACAACCCAGGGAAACUUGGGCUAAUACCGCAUGCGCUCACCGAGCUACAUGGCUGGGGGAGGAAACCCGCUCAUAAGGCGGGGUGCUUCGAGGGGCCCGCGGCGUAUCAGGUAGUUGGUGAGGUAACGGCUCACCAAGCCGACGACGCGUAGCUGGUCUGAGAGGACGACCGGCCACAUUGGGACUGAGAUACGGCCCAGACUCCUACGGGAGGCAGCAGUGGGGAAUCUUGCGCAAUGGACGAAAGUCUGACGCAGCGACGCCGCGUGCGGGAGGAAGCCUUUCGGGGUGUAAACCGCUGUCACCGGGGAAGAACGUUGGGGGGAGGAAAUGCCCUUCAAGUGACGGUACUCGGGGAGGAAGCACCGGCUAACUCUGUGCCAGCAGCCGCGGUAAUACAGAGGGUGCGAGCGUUGUUCGGAAUUACUGGGCGUAAAGCGCGCGCAGGCGGUCCUUUAAGUCUCAUCGUUCAAGCCCGGAGCUCAACUCCGGUCCGCGAGGGAUACUGAGGGACUAGGGACAUGUAGGGGCAAGCGGAAUUCCGGGUGUAGCGGUGGAAUGCGUAGAGAUCCGGAAGAACACCGGAGGCGAAGGCGGCUUGCUGGGCAUGAUCCGACGCUGAGGCGCGAAAGCGUGGGGAGCAAACAGGAUUAGAUACCCAGGUAGUCCACGCCGUAAACGAUGGGCACUAGGUGCGGGGGGGAUCGGCCCUCUCCGUGCCGCAGCUAACGCGCUAAGUGCCCCGCCUGGGGAGUACGGCCGCAAGGCUGAAACUCAAAGGAAUUGACGGGGGCCCGCACAAGCGGUGGAGCAU
rnacentral:rRNA from 1 species